AUGUGAUCGUCUCUCGCAUAUCAAUAAGCGGAGGAAAAGAAACUAACAAGGAUUCCCCUAGUAACGGCGAGUGAAGCGGGAAGAGCUCAAAUUUGAAAUCUUAAAGGGUUUCCCUUUACGAAUUGUAGUUUAAAGAAGUGUUUUCUGUUGAGGUUUUGGUAAAAGUUCUUUGGAAUAGGACAUCAUAGAGGGUGAGAAUCCCGUAUUUGACCUUUACUUUCAGCUUUGUGAUACACUUUCAAAGAGUCGGAUUGUUUGGGAAUGCAGUCCAAAAUGGGUGGUAAAUUUCAUCUAAAGCUAAAUAUUGGCGAGAGACCGAUAGCGAACAAGUACCGUGAGGGAAAGAUGAAAAGAACUUUGAAAAGAGAGUUAAACAGUACGUGAAAUUGUCAAAAGGGAAGCGUUUGACACCAGUGUUGUUUUUCUGAAAAUCAAUUAAAGAACUGUUUAUGCUAAGUUGUUUCAGACUUUAUCAGCUAUCUGUUUAGUUUUGAGCUUUUCUUUAAUGCACUUUUCAGUUAACAAGUCAACAUCAAUUUCUUUUGCUGUAAAAAAGCUUGAGGAAGGUGGCUUGAGAUUCGUCUUAAGUGUUUAUAGCCUCUUGCCUAUGCAGUCGGAGAGAUUGAGGUCUGCAGCGUAGAUCCUUCGGGGCUAAAUGCAUUUGUGCUAAGUUAUAACAUUUUAUAGACAACUUGUUGACUAUGAUUUGUCUUGUAGCUUACUCGCUUAUGUUAUUUUACCUACGCUUAGGAUGUUGAGUAGCGACAUACGCAC
rnacentral:rRNA from 1 species